rnacentral:lncRNA from 1 species
AGAUCUCCUUUUAUCACCGAGAUCUGCUCGCUUUAUACCAAACAGAGCACAGCACCUGUCUCUUCCUAUCCAUUUGCUGACGGUAACCUGGCCACCGUGCAAGCCAGGGGACAGGCACCCCGCUUCGCUUCCACUCGGGGCAUCUCGGUUGGGACGGGGAUCCCAGGAAGCCGCACGGAGCCGGCUCCGCUCCCCGCACCCCGCGGUCCCGCAGCGCUGUGCGAUGCCGUGAGGCUCGCAGGAGGGAAUUCCUUCCAGAUUCAAGGCUUGCCACGGGUAUUCCUGCUGCAGGAUGGGCAUGGCUCAUCUCAUCCAGCAUCCCCAGGUAGAGCAUCCCUAGGGAGCCACCCCAGGGGACCCUCUGGCUUAGCACCUGUCCCUGCUUCAGAGGGAUGUUCUCACUUGCAAAGCACCUCUUAUCCUGUACUCAGGAGAGCCAAGGCACCCUUCCAGUACCAAAGGUACCACUUCUGCACCAAAGGAAUACUUUUCUCCUUGUUCUUCCCAAUUCUUAGCAAAAUGUUUUAAGCAUUUGGGGACUUUUUUUUUUUUUUUCCCCAGUAUAAGCUAAAUUUAUUUAAUCUUUUCCUUUACUGCAGAUUUCACCCAAGGGUUUGCCAGGAAGCAGAUACAUCUUUGACCAAAAUGACUGAGGUCUGCUCCAGCACAACUCAGACAGAGCUCCUGACAAAUGUUUUGCUGUCCUUGCCCUUGGAUAAUGCUGCCAGCCAUGGAUGCCACUAGCGUGUGACAUUUUGUCCCUUACCUGUGGUUUUCAUUCUAAACUGGUGCAAAUCAAGAAAGGUUACACAUAUUUCAGUCAAACAGAGCAGGGGAGAAACACAGGCAAUCCAAGCCACCUCAGGAGCAGGUAGGUAGAAAGAGAGACAUAUAUCCUGGUUCUAUACACCUUCUUAGCUUAAUUUGCCCCUUUGAGAUUGGGGUAAGUGUUUUUCUGAGGUUCCAUGACCAUAUGGGACUUUCCUUCUUCUUCCAAGCCCACCUGGGCUUGCCUCUUCCUUCCAUCCCACUCUUCACUCUUGCAGUCUAAAUCAUGGAAUCAGGUGGUAAAGAUUAAAACCACUCCUGAAAGCAU